CCUACGGGUGGCAGCAGUGAGGAAUAUUGGUCAAUGGCCGGAAGGCUGAACCAGCCAUGCCGCGUGAAGGUCAGUUCCCUUUGGGCGUUAAACUUCUUUUGUGCGGGAGCAAUAAUGGUCACGUGUGGCCUGACGAGAGUACCGUACGAAUAAGCAUCGGCUAACUCCGUGCCAGCAGCCGCGGUUAAACGGGGGAUGCAAGCGUUAUCCGGAUUUAUUGGGUUUAAAGGGUACGUAGGCUCUGAGGUAAGUCAUCGUUUAAAUGCCCCCGGUCAACGGGGGGAAGUGCCAUUGAUACUGGCUUGCUGGAAUGCGGAUGCCGUGGGAGGAAUGUGUGGUGUAGCGGUGAAAUGCAUAGAUAUCACACAGAACACCGAUUGCGAAGGCAUCUCACGAAUCCGCGAUUGACGCUGAUGCACGAAGGCGUGGGUAUCAAACAGGAUUAGAUACCCCUGUAGUC
rnacentral:rRNA from 1 species